rnacentral:rRNA from 1 species
CUCAGGAUAAACGCUGGCGGCGUGCCUUAUGCAUGCAAGUCGAACGGAUUUCCGCAAGGGGAUCAGUGGCAAACGGGUGAGUAACGCGUAAGUAACCUACCGUUCUGUGGGGAAUAACUGCUCGAAAGAGCGGCUAAUACCGCAUACGCUCCUUAUCGUAAGGGUAAGGAGGAAAGCCGCAAGGCGCGGGACGAGGGGCUUGCGUCCGAUUAGCUCGUUGGUGGGGUAACGGCCUACCAAGGCGAUGAUCGGUAGCUGGUCUGAGAGGAUGAUCAGCCACACUGGGACUGAGAGACGGCCCAGACUCCUACGGGAGGCAGCAGCAAGGAAUUUUGGGCAAUGGGGGCAACCCUGACCCAGCAACGCCGCGUGGACGAUGAAGGCUUUCGGGUCGUAAAGUCCUUUUGUGGGGGACGAUAAUGACGGUACCCCACGAAAAAGCCCCGGCUA